UACAGAGGUCUCAAGCGUUGUUCGGAUUCAUUGGGCGUAAAGGGUGCGUAGGCGGCGCGGUAAGUCGGGGUGUGAAAUCUCGGAGCUUAACUCCGAAACUGCAUUCGAUACUGCCGUGCUUGAGGACUGGAGAGGAGACUGGAAUUUACGGUGUAGCGGUGAAAAUGCGUAGAUAUCGUAAGGAAGACCAGUGGCGAAGGCGGGUCUCUGGACAGUUCCUGACGCUGAGGCACGAAGGUCAGGGGGAGCAAACGGGG
rnacentral:rRNA from 1 species